rnacentral:rRNA from 1 species
AGCGUAGACGGCAUGGCAAGCCAGAUGUGAAGGCCCGGGGCUCAACCCCGGGACUGCAUUUGGAACUGUCAGGCUAGAGUGUCGGAGAGGAAAGCGGAAUUCCUAGUGUAGCGGUGAAAUGCGUAGAUAUUAGGAGGAACACCAGUGGCGAAGGCGGCUUUCUGGACGAUGACUGACGUUGAGGCUCGAAAGCGUGGGAGCAAACA